AGAGAAAGAAGAGUCUUUUAAUAAAAUCCCAAGACAAACUGAAAGUGAGGCAGGGAAGUUCAUACACUAAACAGGGCCAAGCGCUUCAACGAGGAGCGUGCAGAAAAUCUCAAAAGCAUCAAGGACUAUUUCCCAUUUCCUCCCUUUAAUAACAUCCAGAAAAAGGACCCCUCUGUCUCCACAUAAGGAGUGAAACCGUGGAAAAGCUCCUGAUUUCUACUGACAGAGGCUUCCUGUAUAAAAGAUUUUCAUCUCUUUUACAAAGGAAAAGGAGAAAAGAAACAAUCUGUGUCAUUCUGGAUAUACAAGAGGGAAGAGAUCGCUCCUCAAAGGUACAGAGUCUUCAUUUUCUUGGGAGAGCAAAAGAAAGGAAGAACUUGGAAUCGCCCACUUGCGGGGUGGGAAGGACGUGCAGAUGGAAUAUUUUUUCUCACUACAGUAAGUCAGGGAGUGGGAGAGGACAUCUCUAACCAGUCAGGAAGAAGUGAUACCUUCUGUGGACAAAGGAAGGGCUGGCUUCUGGCAUCAGGUCUCCCUUUCUCUUAAGAGGACAGACCUGUUUCCAAAAGCUAAGUCUUUUUUUCUUGAUUAUUUUCAUUGAUGCUCUCUUUGUUAAUUUGGGGGAGUAUUGUACAGUAGGAUCUAAGGGGACUGGAAAUGUCUCUUUCUCUAACCCCUAACUGGGAGGGAGUCUUCCACUCCAGUGAGAAAGGAUGCUCGAACACUUGUGAUGGGGGUUGGGAGGGGCACGCAUGGAAAAAUAUGCUUCUCUGUGCAAGAUAUUAAUUUUCUUUUUUAACAGAUGAAGUUAAGAGUAACAGCAACAGCUUACCAAAAGCUUACUAUGUAAUUAGUAUUUACACAAAUGCUCCCUUAGCCCGCAUGACAAUUUUAAGAAAACAGAACCCAAAUUGGAGAUGGACUGAGAUUGAGACAAGUUAAACAAAUAGUCAAGGUCACAAAGAUGUUAAGUGAGAGACCCAGGUUUGGUAACUAUCACACUCCAAAAGCCACGCUCUUAAUUGUGCAAGGGAAAGGAGCUCACUGCACACCAAGAGGCUUAAAGGGAAGAAGAGAAGCGAGGCUCCCUCUGUGGACAUCGCGAUGGGAGAGGGAGAAAGCUUGACUUCUGAUACCAUAAAGUAAAUUUUCAGGGUCUUCCUCUCCGUAUCUUGGGGUACACGUGAAAAAUAAAGAAGGAAGGAUAAGUUCAGAAUGCCCCUCGAACCCCGGGAGUGGGUCUCCCUCUGCUGACCAACGGAUGAGCGCUAAGAAAGAGCGUACGCCUCCGA